rfam:Ruminococcus torques L2-14 draft genome.
UGAUACAAGGGUCAAAAGGUCAUGCGUUUCUUGCUUGCAUGAAAAAGCAUGACUUAUUGACCCGCAAAACACCGAAAAGUAGCCAUUUUUCGUAGAAAAAUGAGCGGAUUUGAGGUGUUUUAGGAUUGCGAGAGCAUGAAAUGCGAAGCAAUCCGUGUAUCA